CAAACUUUAGCGGGAACCCCGGGAACUGGGGCUAAUACCCGAUAGGUGAGGGGGCCUGGAAUGGUUCUUCACUUAAAAGGCGUUGGAACCAUGCUUUUCAACGUCGCCUAAGGAUGGGGCCGCGACCGAUCAGGUUGUUGGUGAGGUAACGGCUCACCAAGCCUAUAACCGGUACGGGCCGUGAGAGCGGGAGCCCGGAGAUGGACACUGAGACAAGGGCCCAGGCCCUACGGGGCGCAGCAGUCGCGAAAACUCCGCAAUGCGCGAAAGCGUGACGGGGCUACCCCGAGUGCCGUCCGCUGAGGAUGGCUUUUCCCCGGUGUAAUGAGCCGGGGGAAUAAGGAGAGGGCAAGCCUGGUGUCAGCCGCCGCGGUAAUACCAGCUCUCCGAGUGGUAGGGACGACUAUUGGGCUUAAAGCGUCCGUAGCCGGCUUAGCAAGUCUCCUGUUAAAUUCAACGACCUAAUCGUUGAGAUGCGGGAGAUACUACUAGGCUAGGAGGCGAGAGAGGCCGACGGUAUUCCCGGGGUAGGGGUGAAAUCCUAUAAUCCCGGGAGGACCACCAGUGGCGAAGGCUGUCGGCUAGAACGCGCUCGACGGUGAGGGACGAAAGCUGGGGGAGCGAACCGGAUUAGAUACCCGGGUAGUCCCAGCUGUAAACGAUGCGGGCUAGGUGUUGGGGUGGCUACGAGCCACUUCAGUGCCGCAGGGAAACCAUUAAGCCCGCCGCCUGGGGAGUACGGCCGCAAGGCUGAAACUUAAAGGAAUUGGCGGGGGAGCAC
rnacentral:rRNA from 1 species